GGGGUGCAGGGUAAUAACGUACCACCCGUGGCCUAACCUUUUUGGGGGGAGCGGUCGAAGGUGGGAUUGGCGAUUGGGACGAAGUCGUAACAAGGUAGCCGUACCGGAAGGUGCGGCUGGAUCACCUCCUUUCUAAGGAGCUGCCUUCACACCUGGUUUUCUUUAUUGUUUAUUGUGGGUGUGGCUGAUGUCCCUGUUUUUGGGGGUGUUGGUUGUGGUGGUUUUUAGUGGAAUUUUGUUGUUAUGGAUUGCUGGCAUGCUGUUGGGGUGUGGGGUAAUACUCCGUGCUGCCUAUGUUUCUGGAUGCUCUUUUGUGGGGUGUUUGGGGGUGUGGUGUUGGUGUGGUGGUUGAGAAUUGUAUAGUGGACGCGAGCAUCUUUGGUUUUUUGUAAGUGUUCAAGAGCGUUCGGUGGAUGCCUUGGCAUACGGAGCCGAUGAAGGACGUUGUAGCCUGCGAUAAGCCUCGGGGAGUUGGCAAACGAGCUGUGAUCCGGGGGUGUCCGAAUGGGGGAACCUGGCUAGAGUUAUUUCUAGUUACCAGCAUCUGAAUGUAUUCUUCCCUCCGGAACGGGCAUAGGC
rnacentral:misc_RNA from 1 species